GAAGGUAUAGCUCAGUGGCAGAGCACCUGCUUAGCAUGCUUGAGGUCCUGGGGUCAAGCCGCAGUACCUCCA
rnacentral:tRNA from 1 species